UACGAAGGGGGCUAGCGUUGUUCGGAAUUACUGGGCGUAAAGCGCGCGCAGGCGGUCUUCCAAGCCAGUGGUGAAAGCCCGGAGCUCAACUCCGGAACUGCCAUUGAAACUGUUAGACUUGAGGACGAGAGAGGUGAGUGGAAUUCCCAGUGUAGAGGUGAAAUUCGUAGAUAUUGGGAAGAACACCGGUGGCGAAGGCGGCUCACUGGCUCGUUUCUGACGCUCAGGCGCGACAGCGUGGGGAUCAAACAGG
rnacentral:rRNA from 1 species